ensembl:lncRNA
CACACACACACAUAUCUCCUUAGCCGGGGUUCUGGAUGUAUGGGGAGUAUUUUAACUGCUGGGUCUAAGCUGAAAGAGAGCAGGGAGACAUCAUUCCCUGUCGCUGCUGUUGGCCACUUGGAGGACAGGUGAAACUCAAUAAUGCCAUGUGGUAAAGCACGAGGAAGAGGCCAUUCCUCCAAUCAGCAUGCAGUGUUGUUGAGUGAUAGACCUUAGGGCCUAUAGGAGCCUCGGAGCAUGCGUCCGAGUCUGCAGCCAGGAUCCGGAGCAACUGGUCGUCGCAGUCGCCAUGAUCAAGAGAUCCACUGAACACGAGACAGAUAGUUUACUUUUAUUUGUCUGUAUUAUUUUGAUGAUUUAAUUUGAUGUGGGUUUUAAAGAAGGGAUUAAUAGGAUUCUAAACAUAUCAGUAUAAAAAUACUUGGUAAUAUAUUUUCAUAGAAAUAUUGUGAUGCCACCAGUGCCUCGUUUAGCUUUUUUCCAAACUAUUUUUACAGUUUAUUUUUUUAUCCAAAAGAAAAAGAACAACCACUCCAAUGAAAAUCCUACUGUUGUUGUGUUGUGGAUGAAUGUUUUCAGACUACUGUCUUGCCAACGUUUUGCACCACCAGUAUGUCCAAUUUAAACUCACAAGACAUCGAGCAGGUUAUACUGUAUUAUUGUAUAGUUUGACCAUUGAAUGCGAAAGAGAAUUUGAGUACUUUCAUGCCAUUGCAUGAGCAUUCAGUCUUUUCAGUUUCUAACAUUUUCCAAUUGUGUUAAUUUGUUGAGUAUUUUUGAACAAUUAUCUUUUCCAUAUCAAGUGGGAGUAGAUGUCCGGGCUCACCAAAAAUGUGCUUUGUUUCAGUGUUUUACAAACGACACAUUGAUGUGGUAAAGAUCUACUAUAAUAAAGGGUAGUUAAAAUUAAGUUUAUUAUGUGGACUAAAACAUUUUAAUUAUUGUUUUAAAUGUGUGGAUAAUGUAAUUGUUCUAUGUAAAGAGGAUGUUUAAACUCUGGGUUUGAUUUAUUUAUGAGAUUAUUUAAUUUCACAUGUGAUGGUUAUGCUGCUUCAGAUGUUUACUGUAAAUAUUUACAAUGCAUCUAAAAUCCAAAUAAAUCUCCCCUUCUGUUGUUACUUGGCUUGUAGCUUAUAAGAUGUUACAUACAAAUGGUCUGAUGUGUUCUUUAAUGAUUAAACUGGG